rnacentral:rRNA from 1 species
UACGUAGGGGGCAAGCGUUGUCCGGAAUCAUUGGGCGUAAAGAGCGCAUAGGCGGUCCGGUAAGUCCGCUCUGAAAGUCCGGGGCUCAACCCCGGGAGGCGGGCGGAUACUGUCGGGCUAGAGUCCGGAAGAGGCGAGUGGAAUUCCUGGUGUAGCGGUGAAAUGCGCAGAUAUCAGGAGGAACACCAAUGGCGAAGGCAGCUCGCUGGGACGGUACUGACGCUGAGGCGCGAAAGCGUGGGGAGCGAACAGG